rnacentral:rRNA from 1 species
AUUGAACGCUGGCGGCAGGCCUAACACAUGCAAGUCGAACGGUAACAGGGAUCAGCUUGCUGAUUCGCUGACGAGUGGCGGACGGGUGAGUAAUGUCUGGGAAACUGCCUGAUGGAGGGGGAUAACUACUGGAAACGGUAGCUAAUACCGCAUAACGUCGCAAGACCAAAGAGGGGGACCUUCGGGCCUCUUGCCAUCGGAUGUGCCCAGAUGGGAUUAGCUAGUAGGUGGGGUAACGGCUCACCUAGGCGACGAUCCCUAGCUGGUCUGAGAGGAUGACCAGCCACACUGGAACUGAGACACGGUCCAGACUCCUACGGGAGGCAGCAGUGGGGAAUAUUGCACAAUGGGCGCAAGCCUGAUGCAGCCAUGCCGCAUGUAUGAAGAAGGCCUUCGGGUUGUAAAGUACUUUCAGCGGGGAGGAAGGAAGUAAAGUUAAUACCUUUGCUCAUUGACGUUACCCGCAGAAGAGGCACCGGCUAAGUCCGUG